rnacentral:rRNA from 1 species
CCUACGGGUGGCAGCAGUGGGGAAUAUUGGGCAAUGGGCACAAGCCUGACCCAGCAACGCCGCGUGAAGGAAGAAGGCUUUCGGGUUGUAAACUUCUUUUAAGAGGGAAGAGCAGAAGCCGUUACCUCUUGAAUAAGCCAUGGCUAACUACGUUCCAGCAUCCGGGGUAAUACGUAGGUAGCAAGCGUUGUACGGAUUUACUGGGUGUAAAGGGCGUGCAGCCGGGAAGACAAGGCAGAUGUGAAAUCCUGCGGCUCAACCGCGGAACUGCAUUUGAAACUGUUUUUCUUGAGUACCGGAGAGGUCAUCGGAAUUCCUUGUGUAGCGGUGAAAUGCGUAGAUAUAAGGAAGAACACCAGUGGCGAAGGCGGAUGACUGGACGGCAACUGACGGUGAGGCGCGAAAGCGUGGGGAGCAAACAGGAUUAGAUAACCCUGUAGUC